AACGCACCUUGCGCCCUUUGGUAUUCCGGAGGGCAUGCCUGUUUGAGUGUCGUCAAAACGUCGACCCCAUGGGAUGUUGCUUGUCCCUGGGGCUCGGAGUGUGAGGGGUUGUGCUGGCGAGUGGGGGGGGGUCCCUGUGGCUCCUCCCUGUGCUUGGCUCCCUUGAAAAGUGUUAGCGUGGUCUCGUAGCUGGGCCAGCCCUCGGUAUGAUAAGCUUCUUGCCUGUGCCGUUGGUGCCCGCCAUGGACCCUAGCUCCCAGUUGUCCGUCCCAUGCAGAUGGGGGACUGCCCGCCGCGAUUGGGCACUUUUGAAGCUUGACCUCAAAUCAGGUAGGACUACCCGCUGAACUUAA
rnacentral:misc_RNA from 1 species